rnacentral:rRNA from 1 species
AUACGGAGGGAGCAAGCGUUAUCGGGAAUCAUUGGGUUUAAAGGGUCCGUAGGCGGACUAUUAAGUCAGAGGGGAAAUCCCACAGCUCAACUGUGGAACUGCCUUUGAUACUGGUAGUCUUGAGUUAUAUGGAAGUAGAUAGAAUGUGUAGUGUAGCGGUGAAAUGCAUAGAUAUUACACAGAAUACCGAUUGCGAAGGCAGUCUACUACGUAUAUACUGACGCUAAGGGACGAAAGCGUGGGGAGCGAACAGGAUUAGAAACCCUAGUAGUCC